rnacentral:rRNA from 1 species
CAGUCGCCGCGGGAAAACGGAGGGUGCAAGCGUUACUCGGAAUCACUGGGCGUAAAGGACGCGUAGGCGGAUUAUCAAGUCUCUUGUGAAAUCUAACGGCUUAACCGUUAAACUGCUUGGGAAACUGAUAAUCUAGAGUAAGGGAGAGGCAGAUGGAAUUCUUGGUGUAGGGGUAAAAUCCGUAGAUAUCAAGAAGAAUACCUAUUGCGAAGGCGAUCUGCUGGAACUUAACUGACGCUAAUGCGUGAAAGCGUGGGAAGCAAACAGGAUUAGAUACCCCCGUAGUCCCUGUCUCUUAUAA